CUUGCUCUCCCAUAAGAGGUCCAGCCUGCCCAGUGACUUAGUUCAACGGCCGCGGUACCCUAACCGUGCGAAGGUAGCGUAAUCACUUGUCUUCUAAAUAGAGACUAGUAUGAAAGGCAUCACGAGAAUUUAACUGUCUCCUUUUUCCAAUCAGUGAAACUAAUCUUCCCGUGAAGAAGCGGGAAUCCAAAAAUAAGACGAGAAGACCCUAUGGAGCUUUAAACACUAACCACCUGCCCAAUCUUAUAAAACCCCGGUUCCUAAACCAACGCAUCAUGACUACGUGUUUUUGAUUGGGGCGACCACGGAAAAUAAUCAAACCUCCGUAAUGAAAACCUACAAGCCACAGCUUUAAGUAUCAACAAAUUGACAUCCAUUGACCCAAUAUAUUGACUAAUGAAC
rnacentral:rRNA from 1 species